rnacentral:rRNA from 1 species
GUGCCAGCCGCCGCGGUAAUACCGGCAACCCAAGUGAUGGCCGCUGUUAUUGGGCCUAAAGCGUCCGUAGCUGGCCGCACAAGUCCGUCGGGAAAUCGCCCGCUCAACGGGCGGCCGUCCGGCGGAACCUGUGUGGCUUGGGACCGGGAGGCCUGAGGGGUACGAUCGGGGUAGGAGUGAAAUCCUGUAAUCCCGCACGGACCACCGAUGGCGAAAGCACUUCGAGAAAACGGAUCCGAUAGUGAGGGACGAAAGCCAGGGUCUCCAACCGGAUUAGAAACCCCGGUAGUCC